CUUUGCACUAAUGUCAUAAGAAGACAGCAAUAAAUUCAAUGGCAAAAACGGAAAGGAAAUUCUCCGCUAUUGUUGGACCCGCCAAGACAUCAAAAGAGAGAACAAUUCUCGUAAUGAAGGGCAACAACUGAAAAAAUAAAGCCAAGCCAUGGAAAAGACACAGACAGUAUCGUUUUGAACCACUUGCAUGGGCAAGAUUGGAAAGGAAAUUCUCCGCUAUUAAUGGACCCAUCAAGAUAUCAAACGACAAAAGAGGCCUCAUUUUGUAAAACAUGUCAUAGCAUAUACAUGAGGGCUAACUUAUAAUUAAAUUCACCCAAAUCAAUAUGAAAAUACUGUUACUUUGAGAACUCACUAUUAUUAUAUACCAUAUGAGUUGGCGUAGCGUAACCAUUUGACGGUAUCAUGGUUCUUGAACCCUUGUACUCAUAAGCCUAAGCCCAUUGGCUUCUCCUCCCACCCAGCGUGGCGGAACAAACAAGCGCAUGAAUUCGUUCGAAGGAAUUUUCAGCAGGUGCUUUUGAUUUCACCAGCGAUCAUUAGUUGGCAAAUAUGGAAAGAGAGGAAUGAAAAAGCGUUUGAUCACAGUGAUCCUACUCCAUUCUACGUUAUCGAGAAUUCGCACAGGCUGGUAGAUAUUCAAAUGGGUCCCUCAUAGCUUAUUAUUCACCAGCAAUUAACCUUCUUCGCAACCGCUGCAGGUUACCUGGUCCCCUCAUGGCUUUGGAUAUCUCUAGCUGAAUUGUGAUGUUGCUCGGAUAGGAUCCAAUAUUCAAGCCACUAUUAGCGUCGUUAGAAAUCAUACUAGUAAAAUUGUCCUAAGAAGGUGAGUUGCUCCUCCCCCUUGGCAGGAGAAGCUAAAGCUGCGUUGUAGGCAAUGUCACAAGCUAAGACUCUGGGAAUCCCCUUUUAUUCUGGAAACAGAAACAUAUAAAUAGAAUAAACAAGUGACCAUCCAUUGACAUAAAAUCUCAAACUAAUAGUUAAACAAAAGCAUAGGAUUGAUUCCUCUAGUCUCAAAAUUUGAGAAACAAAGUAUUACUAUCUAUGCACUGUCAGAUUCAUUUCCUGAGUCUACAUUCACUGGCUGAGGGUUCCUGUAGCCACUGACUUCAUCAUUAUAUCGCUUUUUAUCUGCUCGAGCCUUUGCUUCAUACGGUUCUUUCUCCUCCGCUGACAAUUGUUUCCACCUGUCUCCAAGAACUUUUCCAACCUCCCCAAAAGCAAUGCCAGGAUUACUUUUCUUCACAUUCUCCCUUUCCAUUUGUGAGAAGAACAUGAAACCAGACAUUGCCUUCUUAGGUGCAUUUGGAUCCUUCUUCUUCUUUUGUUUUUUCUUCUUAGAUGCAUCCUCAUUUCCCUCUUUGGAUCUCUUCUUCGAUGCACCCUUAGAAGAUGAGGGCUCCUUUUUAGAUUCCUUUUUCAUAGGCUUCUUUUUCUCAUCUCCACUUUCACUAGCAUCAGAUUCUUCCUCCCCAGAAUCAUCAGUAGGAGAGCCUUCAUCAUCUUUGUCAGCAACAAAAUCUUCAUCCUCUUCAUCACUCUCAUCUCCAGCUUCAUUCUUGAUGCGCUCAAGAUGUGGGUCAACAGCAUCAUCGUCUUCAUUCUGGAGAACAGCAGCCACUCCAUUUGUGGUUUGCAUAUCACCCAGGUUCAUAAUCUUCAGACCCUUCCCACUGAUGAAGUCAAAAAGAUUGUGAUACUCAUUUCUCUGGAUGUUCCGGAACAGAUGUUCUUGCUCGGUUUUUAGUCUUAUAAGAAGAUCAAAGUAAUGCAUAUUUGAGCCACCAGCUGCGUGCCUCUCAAAUUCAACAUAAUCAAUCUCCUCAUGAAGAAUAAGAGUUGGAGGUUUCGGUAAGAAGAAGAAGCUUUUCUCAAGUGGAUAUAGAAGGCCAUCUUCAGCUUUCAGUGAUGACUUCACUGCAUAACCAUCUUGACAGCUACGGAAUUUUCCUGGUUUAGUUACUUUUGCACCAGACAAGCCCCGCAAUACUGCUGUGAACACAUCAUGAAUGAGUCCCUUAUAAGAUGGUUCUAACUUGUCCUUGUACUUUGUGCUCAAAAGGUCUUCAUUGAUUGACAAUGCAUUUUGGACCACAUUGUCAGUGUCAAACUGCAACACAAUGUGGGGAUACAAAGUUUGCCCCUUGCGAAUAGGGGGGUCAAGCAUAACAACAACAAAAGUAUGUGGCUGGUUAGACUUUGGAAGCAAAAAUAGGCGAACAACACUGCUGUACUGAAUUUUGAAAUCAUUGGCUUGUCCUUGGAGCCGCAGGAAUGACAAAUGAAGUUCAACAUUAUACCGACCCCUUGGUGUCAGGAUUGCAACACCAUCAAACGUAACAACAGCUUCUUCACCACCAGGGUCAACAUCUGCCAUUGACAAAAUCUUUUCUCGGAAGACCUUGCACAAAGUUAAGAAUCAAUAAAUAAGUGAAGUAGUGGACAGACAAAGCACACGUAUAUGAUUGUAACUAACAAUUCUGUUAACAAAAAUUUUCUUCCAUUAAAGAAAGGAAAAAGAAACAAAACGGAUAGAAUGAAAGACAGAGCAUAUAUAACAAGAAAAAUAAGAAAUAAAUAACUUACCUGAGCAGGAGGUCGAUUUUCAUCACCAACAUAUUGGGUGUUGUUACCAGGUAUGUGAAAACUCAUCUCCAUCAAUGAAUCUUU
rnacentral:misc_RNA from 1 species